rnacentral:rRNA from 1 species
AUUGAACGCUGGCGGCAGGCUUAACACAUGCAAGUCGAGCGAGCGGCGGACGGGUGCAUACUGUCUGGGAAACUGCCUGAUGGAGGGGGAUAACUACUGGAAAAGGUAGCCAAUACCGCAUACCAUCAGAUGUGUCCUGAUGGGAUUAGCUAGUAGGUGGGGUAAUGGGUCACCUAGGCGACGAUCCCUAGCUGGUCUGAGAGGAUGACCGGCAACACGGGAACUGAGACACGGUCCAGACUCCUACGGGAGGCAGCAGUGGGGAAUAUUGCACAAUGGGCGCAAGCCUGAUGCAGCCAUGCCGCGUGGGUGAAGAAGGCCUUCGGGUUGUAAAGCACUUUCAGCGAGGAGGCGUUACUCGCAGAAGAAGCACCGGCUAACUCCGUGCCAGCAGCCGCGGUAAUAC